AUCAGAUUGCAUCACAAAGGAUU
rnacentral:misc_RNA from 1 species